UACGGAGGAUGCGAGCGUUAUCCGGAUUUAUUGGGUUUAAAGGGUGCGUAGGCGGCUUUUUAAGUCAGCGGUGAAAUUUUGUAGCUUAACUGUAACAGUGCCGUUGAUACUGGGGAGCUAGGAUUUGGUUGCUGUGGGUGGAAUGUGUGGUGUAGCGGUGAAAUGCUUAGAGAUCACACAGAAUAUCGAUUGCGAAGGCAGCUCACAAAGCCAAGAUUGACGCUGAGGCACGAAAGUGUGGGGAUCAAACAGGAUUAGA
rnacentral:rRNA from 1 species